rnacentral:lncRNA from 1 species
UUUCUGACUUUUGUUGAAUUAGCACUUCAGAGGCAAUACUCUUAUUGAUUUCAAGGCCAAUGGCCUGUAUGUUUUCCGCCAAUAAAUGACAACAUCAUUAAAUGAAGUAGAAGAAUCACUUGCAUCAAAAAUCUUUUUUUUUCUUCUUUGAUAAUGUGGAAUCACCUUCGUUUCUAGUUGGUUGUGGUUGUGUAGUUGAAAGAUCCAUGUCAUCCAAAGAAACAUCAGCUUCG